GUUCCUAUUUCAAUGAAAGUGAAGGGGACUUUUUCUGGCACAGCACUCGAAGAGGCACUGUGCACAGAAACAACCACAGACUCAGAAUCUACUGAAAAGCUACCAAGGUGGCACCACUUCCCUGGGUGAAGAAAGAAGCGGCCUUAACUGAGACACAUCAAUCCCUGCAGCUCAGUCCUGUGAUCCCACACCAGAAUGCAGAACUAAGGAGAUCUCAAGCCAUCUGGUCCAAUCACCAUGAGGCCUCCAAAUAGAAACCAGAGCUCUUCCUGGGACACCCUGCUCCUAAGAACAUAUUCGGCCACCAAAUGUGCUCUCUCUCCAUCAACAGUGGACUUGCUAGACUAUUCCACCACCAGGCGUGGAGUAAAACACAACUGAACCCUCAUCUUGGGCAGCUUUACCAGCUACUACUGCUGUGCUCCCCAACAGCCAGCAGGAGGCAGCACAGCACCGAAAGCUGAAUUUUAGGCUGGGGUGUGAUUGGUUCAGG